rnacentral:rRNA from 1 species
CCUACGGGAGGCAGCAGUGAGGAAUAUUGGUCAAUGGACGAGAGUCUGAACCAGCCAAGUAGCGUGAAGGAUGACGGCCCUACGGGUUGUAAACUUCUUUUAUAUGGGAAUAAAACGUUCCACGUGUGGGAUUUUGUAUGUACCAUAUGAAUAAGGAUCGGCUAACUCCGUGCCAGCAGCCGCGGUAAUACGGAGGGUCCGGGCGUUAUCCGGAUUUAUUGGGUUUAAAGGGAGCGUAGGUGGAUUGUUAAGUCAGUUGUGAAAGUUUGGGGCUCAACCCGAAAAUUGCAGUGGAAACUGGCAGGCUUGAGUCCAGGAGAGGCGGGCGGAAUUCGUGGUGUAGCGGUGAAAUGCUUAGAUAUCACGAAGAACUCCGAUUGCGAAGGCAGCUUACUGGACUGCAACUGACACUGAGGCUCGAAAGUGCGGGUAUCAAACAGGAUUAGAUACCCCAGUAGUC